rnacentral:rRNA from 1 species
AAUUUUGGACAAUGGGCGCAAGCCUGAUCCAGCAAUGCCGCGCGCAGGAUGAAGGCCCUCGUGUUNUCAUCUGCUUUUGUACGGAANGAAAAGUCUUUGGUUAAUACCCUUGGAUCAUGACGUUACCGUAAGUAUAAGCACCGGUGCACUUCGUGCCAUCAGCUGCGGUAAUACGUAGGGUGCAAGCGUUAUUCGGAAUUACUGUGCGUAAAGCGUGCGCAGGCGGUUUUGUAAGACAGUGGUGAAAUCCCCGGGCUCAACCUGGGAACUGCCAUUGUGACUGCAAGGCUGGAGUGCGGCAGAGGGGGAUGGAAUUCCGCGUGUAGCAGUGAAAUGCGUAGAUAUGCGGAGGAACACCGAUGGCGAAGGCAAUCCCCUGGGCCUGCACUGACGCUCAUGCACGAAAGCGUGGGGAGCAAACAGG